rnacentral:tRNA from 2 species
GACCCCGUAGCUCAGUGGUAGAGCGUGAGAUUCCAGACUAUUGGAGUUUCCUCAAGGUCAUCCGUUCAAUCCGGGUCGGGGUCA